UGACUGAUCAAGCCCUGCCUAUAAAGGAAGCAGGAAGUGGAGGGUUCCUUCUUUAAUCUUCAAAGCUGCACAGAGCAGGCAGCAACAGAAAUUUUUCACUCCUUAUUCAAUGUGGUGAAUAAGUCAAAAGAGUAACUAACAUCCUGACUCACUCCAUACAUGUGGAGGACUGCACACACACCUGUGGAGGAUGUAGAGGACCAUCUCUUUGCUUCCUGCACUGGCAGCGUGAUGAGUCGAGUGAGGUGGGGCUCCCUUCAGGUGCGGCUCCCUUCAGGUGGGGCUCCCUUCAGGUGCGGCCUCCCUUCAGGUGCGGCCUCCCUUCAGGUGGGGCUCCUGCAGCUGAUGAUUCAGUUCAAAGACACAUGGGCAGCCUGACCAAAACAAGAUGAAGUGCUGUUAGCAUGUCUGCUACACCACGCUGCCUCACUUCCUUCAACAUUUGGUGUUUCCUCGCUCUGAACUCCGAAGGAGUUUCUUCGGAUUAAAGUUUACCUGUUCCUGUUGGACCUUGUGUUUUUUUUGUCUUGUCAGCAUCUUCAAUUCCUAAUAGAUGUUUUGUAGUAGUUUCCUUUGUCACACAGUUGUGAACUUGAAGUGUUAGAUUUGUUAUCUUGUAUAAAACAAAUUUUCCAUUAGGAAACAUGUUUAUUUGUACAUAAUUAAAGACUACUAGAAACAAGUUUCCUCAGGAAUAAUGAAAGUGGUAAACUACUAUAAAUAAAACACAGCUGGCAGAUGACCAGAGCACAGAUGUAACACAAGUCACUGAUGCAGAAUGGAUACAGCAGUAGUUUUAUUACAAUAUUGAACAGACAUGACCUGUGUUUUUCUACAUGUUACAUCAGCACAAGAAGGUGUCACAGCAUCCCCAUUGGAUAGGAGACUCAAAGGGUUCUUAAUGUUUAAUUAUG